AUUAACAUCCUUUGGCACCACAUCACCACGGAACAUGAGACAGCAAGCCAUGUACUUGCCAUGACGAGGGUCACACUUAACCAUCAUAGAAGAUGGCUCAAAGGCACUGUUAGUGAUUUCUGCAACUGAAAGCUGCUCAUGGUAGGCCUUCUCAGCAGAAAUGACGGGGGCAUAUGAGGAAAGCAUAAAAUGGAUCCUGGGAUAGGGGACAAGAUUGGUCUGGAAUUCAUUCACAUCAACAUUCAGAGCUCCAUCAAACCUCAAAGAAGCUGUCAGAGAAGAUAUAACCUGUGAGAUAAGGCGAUUGAGAUUGGUGUAGGUAGGGC
rnacentral:misc_RNA from 1 species